rnacentral:lncRNA from 1 species
ACACACACACACAUUCACACACAAAUACACAUAUGUUUCAAAUGUGAUUUGAAAGCUUGGUUCUGUAUGUAACUUAACCACAUUCUUAAAAAUUCUAAACAGAAAUGAUUAAUCCCUUUAAUGUACCAUAUGCUUAUAGAAUAUUUUUUAAGUUUCUUUAGCAGAAAGAGUCACAUUGCCAUGGUGUGUAUACUGCUGAAACCACCCCGCUUUGUGAUGGCGUGGUAUUGCUUGCCUUUCCUUCCCGCUCAUUACUUUGCAGUAAGAGUUGUUAACACACAGAGCGGAGUAGACCACCAAAGAGCCUACCUUGUUAGUACAUACAGCACGUGAAUCUUACAGCGCUCACAGACUAUGGACUCCGGCUGUGUUACACUCAUCCAAGUUUCAGUCAAAUUGUAUUUUGCAGUUUGGGUUUAAAGAAGAAAACAUAAGGCAAAAUGUAGUAUAUUGUAUAGCAUUUUUAUGUAUUCAUGCCUAUGUAAAUAAAUUGUGUUUAUUAAAUAAUUCAUUUAAUUUUCCUAAAUUGCUCUUGAACAUGCUUCAUGCUAAAUAAGUAAAAUGAUAGCAAGGUUUAACGUAAAGAAGGUGAAAAAUGCCUUUGUAUCACCAAGAAUUUACUAAAUGGCUUAGGCUAAGCUUUCUGUAUGUUUUGUUUUUCCCUGUAAGAACAGACUUAGCAAACUGAGCUUGUUCUCAGCCACUACCACUAAGAAUCUCUUUUCCGUUUCUUCGCCAUUACUUAUUGCUUAGAUUUGAACUUGACCAUUCCAUCCUGUGCCACAUUGCCCAGGGUCUCAUCCCCACCCACCCUCCUGAUUUUCUCAUUGCUAUGCUCACCUGCUUGCAGCCUCUGGUAAAUUAUUGAGGACAGCCCAGUGGGUGGGUUGACCUCUUCUGUCUAUAGUAUCACCAUCCUUAUAAGGCUUAUCAAUUUUUUAAAAGAAGGUUUGGCUAAGCCUCUAGAUUAUCAGUAACACUGUGUAUGGCUAUGUGACAGGGCUUCAUGUUUCUCAAAGGAGCUAGGGAUGCCAACAUAAGGGAAAUGAAGAGAUGGAUUCUGACUUUUGUUUUCUUUUCUUUUUUCUUUUUCCUUUUUUUCCCUCUUUUCUUUUAUUUUCCUUUCCUUUCCUUCCUUUCCUUUCCUUUCUUUCCUUUCCUUCCCUUUUCUUUUCUUUUCUUUUCUUUUCUUUUCUUUCCUGAUUCUCAUUGAUUCCACCAUACAUUCUGUUCUGGGGAAAUAAAAAUCUCCAAACUCAUCAGAUCAAAAAAGACACAAUGAGACUAAUUCAUGCGGGCACGUAUAAAAUGUGUUAUUCAUUUGUUUACACUGUAAUUGUCUUUGAAAUGUCUGCUCUUUUGGAGUGAUAGAACCAGAGUUCACUAGAAUCCCUUUGUUUUAGAGCUGGCACAGAUCCUAAGUAGGACCCGAGUGGAUGUUGCCUUGCCCACUGUGGGUGCUAAAUUCUAUCUUCUAUCAGGAACACCUGAAGAACCAUGUGGUAUAGACUACCAAAAAAAUGUUAUACAGAUUAUAAAUAUUCAUAGUGUUAGCUUUAUAUAUAUGCAAAGUAGGUGAAGUGAACAUUUUUAUCAAGUAUUGAGUGUAGUUACAGGAAUGGGAGCUUAUAGAGAUUUUCUCAAAGCAUCCUGGAAUUACAGAUUUAUGCUAUCAGGACUGGCUUUAAGUGGGUUCUUGAGUUUUAAACACCAUAGCUCAGUAUUUUCAUCAUAAAUCAGAAUUAAAUUUGUGAUUAUAAUUAAAUUAUACUUGAAAGCAAUCAUAAUUUUUAAAUAGAAAAAAGUCAGUAUAAUAAAGAUAUAGUAAUUUCACAGAAAUGGUUAAUGUUAAGUAAAAGAAGGACUUUGGGUGGAGGCCUCCUUGUACUUAGUGUCACAGAGUCCAGAAGUUCGCUUAGUUUCUCCCAAGAACACACCUACAAGCUUAGGAGAGAGCAGUCAUUUUUAUUUGCCUAACUGAAGUUAUAAGUUAUGGGAAGACAUCUGGUUUAUGGGUGCUUAUGGUUUAGCUUCAGGUUAAUAGUCUUCUGCAUAAGAAACUAUAAGUUGGAUAAAGGAUUAAAUCCUCUUCAGAGGAAGGGGAGGCCUGGGACAUUAAACCCAUGGGCACCUUUUCAGUAGAGUCCAAGGGCUUGUCUCCAAUUAUGAUGAUGCUCCUAAUAUAGAAAUGAAAGGAUUCAUAUUUUUAAAAUUUACAAAUGAAGAUUUAAGAACCAUUCUUGAUUCAUAC